UUUUAAUGAGAGUUUGAUCCUGGCUCAGGACGAACGCUGGCGGCGUGCCUAAUACAUGCAAGUAGAACGCUGAGGUUUGGUGUUUACCCUAGACUGAUGAGUUGCGAACGG
rnacentral:rRNA from 1 species